GACGAACGCUGGCGGCGUGCUUAACACAUGCAAGUCGAACGAAGAGCGACGGAAGCUUGCUUCUAUCAAUCUUAGUGGCGAACGGGUGAGUAACGCGUAAUCAACCUGCCCUUCAGAGGGGGACAACAGUUGGAAACGACUGCUAAUACCGCAUACGAUCUAAUCUCGGCAUCGAGGAUGGAUGAAAGGUGGCCUCUACAUGUAAGCUAUCACUGAAGGAGGGGAUUGCGUCUGAUUAGCUAGUUGGAGGGGUAACGGCCCACCAAGGCGAUGAUCAGUAGCCGGUCUGAGAGGAUGAACGGCCACAUUGGGACUGAGACACGGCCCAGACUCCUACGGGAGGCAGCAGUGGGGAAUCUUCCGCAAUGGACGAAAGUCUGACGGAGCAACGCCGCGUGAGUGAUGACGGCCUUCGGGUUGUAAAGCUCUGUUAAUCGGGACGAAAGGCCUCCUUGCGAAUAGUGAGAAGGAUUGACGGUACCGGAAGAGAAAGCCACGGCUAACUACGUG
rnacentral:rRNA from 1 species